GAUGAAUGCUGGCGGCGUGCCUAAUACAUGCAAGUCGAGCGAACGGACGAGAAGCUUGCUUCUCUGAUGUUAGCGGCGGACGGGUGAGUAACACGUGGAUAACCUACCUAUAAGACUGGGAUAACUUCGGGAAACCGGAGCUAAUACCAGAUAAUAUUUUGAACCGCAUGGUUCAAAAGUGAAAGACGGUCUUGCUGUCACUUAUAGAUGGAUCCGCGCUGCAUUAGCUAGUUGGUAAGGUAACGGCUUACCAAGGCAACGAUGCAUAGCCGACCUGAGAGGGUGAUCGGCCACACUGGAACUGAGACACGGUCCAGACUCCUACGGGAGGCAGCAGUAGGGAAUCUUCCGCAAUGGGCGAAAGCCUGACGGAGCAACGCCGCGUGAGUGAUGAAGGUCUUCGGAUCGUAAAACUCUGUUAUUAGGGAAGAACAUAUGUGUAAGUAACUGUGCACAUCUUGACGGUACCUAAUCAGAAAGCCACGGCUAACUACGUG
rnacentral:rRNA from 1 species